CUCCAGUGAUGACCUCCAUUAGUGCCACGUGUCUGGGCCACUGAGACUCUGUGAUGGAGCUGAGGUUCUGAGGAG